rnacentral:rRNA from 1 species
ACGAACGCUGGCGGCGUGCUUAACACAUGCAAGUCGAGCGACGCCCUCUCUUCGGAGGGGUGACGGAGCGGCGAACGGGUGAGUAACACGUGGGCAACCUGCCCCUCGCUCUGGGACAACUCCGGGAAACCGGGGCUAAUACCGGAUACGACCGCUCCAGGCAUCUGGUGGUGGUGGAAAGUUUUUCGGCGAGGGAUGGGCCCGCGGCCUAUCAGCUUGUUGGUGGGGUGAUGGCCUACCAAGGCGACGACGGGUAGCCGGCCUGAGAGGGCGACCGGCCACACUGGGACUGAGACACGGCCCAGACUCCUACGGGAGGCAGCAGUGGGGAAUAUUGCGCAAUGGGCGAAAGCCUGACGCAGCGACGCCGCGUGAGGGAUGACGGCCUUCGGGUUGUAAACCUCUUUCAGCAGGGACGAAUUCAGACGGUACCUGCAGAAGAAGCACCGGCCAACUACGU